rnacentral:rRNA from 1 species
UACGGGGGGGGCAAGCGUUGUUCGGAAUUACUGGGCGUAAAGGGCUCGUAGGCGGCCAACUAAGUCAGACGUGAAAUCCCCAGGCUCAACCUGGGAACUGCGUCUGAUACUGGAAGGCUUGAAUCCGGGAGAGGGAUGCGGAAUUCCAGGUGUAGCGGUGAAAUGCGCAGAUAUCAGGAGGAACACCGGUGGCGAAGGCGGGUCUCUGGGCCGAUACUGACGCUGAGGAGCGAAAGCGUGGGGAGCGAACAGG